rnacentral:lncRNA from 1 species
AGAGAUGUAGGCACCAUGAAAACAUAUUGGCGUAUUGUGUUGUGCUAGUUGCUUUGAGUUGCGCUAACCCAAACAUAGUACUGUGUAAUUGUUGCGUUUGUGUGGCUGCUGUGAUGGAAAUUAAUAAUAGAAUCUCAAACUCUACCACUGGGUUAGCUGGAGUAUUUUUAAAUUUGCAUCAUUUAGAGCAAUCUGGAACUGAUACUGCCUGUCUACUAUAUGUGUCUGGGUGAUUAGCUCAAAUUUGGCAACUCGUGCAUGGCAUAUGCUGUGUAUCUGGAGUGAUGAAUUAAUUUAUAAAUAUAUGUGUGUUAUAUUUGUUUGUACACUUGAGUCGGAGUGCUGUCCUUUAGCAAUUGAAACUUUGAACUGAAAUUUUAUCUUGAGCGGAGCAGAACUAAAACGCCCUCAUGCUGAAUCCAAAACUCGGCACCCAAUGUUACUGGAGCAUCAAACACUAAUUACAUGGCCAAAUUUCAGCUCAUAAUGAAUCUAUGUUUGUUAGUGACCUUCCCUCAUGUUUUGUGGAAAUUUUAUGCUAAUUACACUACUUUUCUUUGUUGCUUUUGAUUUACAGAGAGUUCUAAAGGCUGCGGGGAUAUUUGCUGGAUCCAUCUUUUUGAUGCGCACCUUUGGUGACAUGAUGGUAGUUUAAGGACGUUGUAGUGGCUGAGCAGGGUAAUGGUGGUUCCAUGCCCAUUUUCGUUGUGUGCCUUGUGAUCAGGCUUGUGGAAUAUUUGUACUCAGACUUGUCGGUUUCUUGUUGAGUUGGUGUUUGAAGCAUUUCUCGGCAGGGCUAUUUGACUGUUCUUUUUUAGUUGAGCACUUAAUCUUCUAUGAGUAUAAUAAGUUCAUGUCCAGUUUGCUGUUAGGUCAACACAACCGUAGGCUUGUGUUGAAUUAACAGUCUAAUUCUAUUGUUUAGAUGCAACAUUUUGAUUAUGUUAAUAUGGGUGUUUGCCGAUGUUCUUCUCGAAUGGCUAGUUAUUCAUUGUUCUGUGACAUUCUGGAUGCAAUCCCAGCAGUUGCAUUUCUUGAUGUCAGUUCUCAGAAACUCAUGUAGUUCAUCUGUCUUGAAUACUUCUCUGUUAAUCGGAUGCCAUCGUUGACAGGGCACACUUGCACUCCUUGGAGGAUCCCAUGCCAAAUACGGUUGUGCCUGCCCACAGGGGUUCCAAAGCGCCGUAGGCUAUUUGGUACCUACCAAUUUCGGAUGUAUGACUUCAUAAUAUAAUACUCCCUCCGUCCCAAAAUUCUUUUCUUAGAUUUGUCUAUAUACGGAUGUACCUAAUACUAAAACGUGACUUGAUACAUCCGCAUUUGGACAAAUCUAAGACAAGAAUUUUGGGACGGAGGGAGUAGAUAACUGUCACAUUCCCAACGAUAAAUAUUACUCUCUGAGUAUUGAAAUCGAAACCUGGAUGUUUCGCGUCACAGGAUGGCCGUCUCGUAUGCUUUCAUGAUGUAACCCUGGAUGUUUGCUUACAGUAGAUUUUAAAGUAGCAUGGUUUAAUAGAUUUUAAAGCGAAUUGAAAUCACAUGUUCAGGGAUCAACAGUACAAUUGUACGCCUUGUCCUCUCUUUUUCUAGCGUUAUUUAUUUUGUUUAUUGCAUUCUUCUGCCUUAGACACUGCUCAUGUUCAUAUCAAUAAUCAAAUAAAAUCAUGUUAUUUUUGGUUGCAUGUCCCGCAGAUGUCUUGGUCUUUAUUGAUUAAUAUAUAUGCAUGCUCUUAUAAAUACUUAAAUCCUAUUUUCUUUUGCCUUAAUUUAAAACACUAUUUUGCUAUGGAAUUGCCAAUGAUGAUCUCCUGCUAUAUUGUACUCCCUCUGUUCGGAGUUACUUGUCGCAAAAAUGAAUUAAAAUGGAUGUAUUUAUAGAACUAAAAUAUGCCUAGGUACAUUCAUUUUUCCGACAAGUAUUUCGGGACGGAGGGAGUAGGAAAGUAAAAGAUCCUUACAUUUGAUGAGUAUAUCUUGAUUGCACUUAAUGCUGACAGGAUGGUUGGAAUAUACCGAGAGAUCAAGGAUCCUAUUUUCUUCAACCUGAGAACAGUUUGUGUUCUCAAAGUACUGAACCAACUUUAAUGUGGAAAAUGUCUUCUUGGAAAUUCACUGUAUGAUUCUUGAAUAAUCAUGUACUAGGUAAAGUGGUCAUGUGGCAAAAAAGUUGGAGGACAGGAUCGUCGAGGCACUUCUGAAGUAUGGCUACAAAGGCGAAUACAUGUCUGAAGAUUGGCUCAAGCAGCCAGUAUUCAUCCCAUCCUUUGCUCCAACUUCACUCAUUUACAUCCCAAACAUGACAAACUCCAGAAGUUUUUCUAAUAGAUGAUACCAUAAAAAAAACUGAUAUCAGCAGUAAGCACUAGCGGGCUUUUCCUACAAAAACUCCUUUUUUUCAAAGACAUUUUCUAACGUGCAGCCGUACUAUGAGAUAACUUCAAAUGGUUAUCUCGCGUUCAUAGUAUAUACUCCACACACAUUCAGAAAUCAGAAUUCAUUCCUGCACUUCAACUUCCUCCAAGACCCUUAUGUUGAAUAUGACUAUAUGUGUACUCUUAACAAGAUCAGUAUUGCGGCCUGUUCACCGAUUUCACCGGCACCUUGCACAGGUCCCAGCACUGCACAGCUCCACUCCAUACCAAAUGAAGUAAAAUAAGGUAGAGGCACUCCUGCAUGAGAUCUCCUACAUGCUGAAGGAUGAUGGAUACUAAGCUUAUGUUCCCAAGUCUGCAUACUGUUCUCACCGUUAACACCACUGAGAAAAAGGAUGUGUGCUGCCAUUCUCUGUAAAAUAUACAAAUAAAUCACAGGAAUGCUAACUAUAGAGCAUCACAAAGUAAAAAUUGUCAUAAAAUCUGGAAGAAUUGCACUGUUUAUACUUUAUACUACUUUAUAAUGAUUCCUAGUAAAAAAAAGUAGUUCUGAAAUAAGUACUAUAUUCAUGGCAUAUUGGCAUUUAUUCUCAACUCUAAAUAAUGAGAGUAAGAUGGAAGAUAUGGUUUAACAUACACGAGGCCAAAGAAAUCUUUCUUUUUCCAUGAGACAUGUCAACGACUUAUAAAUUUACGCAGAGUCUUGCUUGUUACCUAGCCUUGAAUACAGAAUAUGAAUAUAUCUUCCUAGCGGGCCAAAUAAAGGCCCAGUUCUUUUCAGGCAAGAUUCUACAGAAUCAGGAUUCUGCAAAAUUCUCCCAAAAUCUGCUUCUCCCAGAAUCUGCCGCCGAGUUCUUUUCAGAGAUUGUAGUUUGAGAUUCUAGAAAGUGUUGUGUGUUGAAAUGCCUGUACUAUCCUUAGACAAAAAUUUCUUGGAUGAAAUGUAUUUUAUCUAUCAACAAUAGCUAGCAUCAAUUCAAGCAUUAUUCAAGCAUGAAGAAACAGAGAGAUGUAAAAAGGAGGGCUCAUCGUGAGUGUCGGCGUCGAACUUUGCGGGACGGGGCUGAGGGCCGGGACGGACUGAGGGGCGAGGAGGAGCUAAGGAGGGAAGCUGGCCGGCGGGGACGGUAACCCUAGCUGCUGCCGCGCAGCUGACGGGGCGGGGUGAACUGCUGGGCGAGGAGGGCGGGGCGGACCGGGCAAGGGAGGCUGGCUGGCGGGGGCGGGGGCGGCUCGAAGGUCCGCUGCCCCGAUGCGGUGCGGGAACUGGGAGACGAGUGCGCGGUUGGGUGCGUCCGCUCGUUGACUGCGGGGUGGCAUUUUGACCGUAAAUAUGUGAUACAAUAGGGGUACAACUAUACUUCGAAACGUUUUCUUUGGUGGGACUAGCUAGAAUCCUGAGAUUGUGGGAGAGGCCAGGUAUAUUGGGAUUUUGGGAUUGCAUUAGGAUUCUACAGAAUCCGAUUGAGAUUUUGAAAGUUCAAUCGGUUCUUUUCGCUCGGGAUUUUCGGGACCGAGAUUCUCCAUAAUCUGCUCAAAAGAACUGGGCCAAAAUCUCUCGGGGUGAAAUGUGUGUGCAUUAACUAAUUCUGGUUCCAAUGUUAUGUGGAUGCUGACCUUCAUGCGAAAUGUACGCGUGAAAACAAAUUGUGUGAGACACUUAUCACUUACAUGUUGGCCUACUACACAACAUACAUAAACAAUCACUAUAUAUAUCCAGCCUGCUUCCAUACACUACACUCCUGCUUCAUUUACUUAGUUAAAUGUGUAGGAGUUUGAUUUUUUUUUCGUUGGUAAAGUUCUGAGAUAGUGGAGGCAACCACAGACUCAAUGGAGUAUGUCGCGAGCUUAGGAUGUCUCGGAAGUUACAGACAAUCAAAUACGGCGUGUGUGUCAUGUUUAGGCUGCCGUGGGCCAUGGUUAGUAGUUGUUCUUACCAGCUGAUCAAGAAUUCGUCCGAUUAAUCAGUUAACGGACUAGUUAAUCGCUACUUGUAGGAUGGUCAAAUCGAAUAGCACAUAUUUGGCGCGUUAACUUGCCAUGCCGAUUAACUGGCGUGGUUGGUAUAUUGCAUAGCUGAGAGUUUGAGAGUAUGGUGUAAUACAUAAAAGAUUAGAUAUAUGUUGCCAGACAAAGUUCGGCAUGCUUCUCGAGAGGACCGGACAAGAAGUUCUGGAAGAAAAUGCGGAGGCUUCCGAUUCCACCCAAAGUUCCGAAUUUUUGGUGGCGGGUCAUCAAGGGUUUUGUCCCUUCUAGAGGGGUAUUAUGCCAAAGACAUAUUUAGCAGGUUGAUUUCUGCCAUGCUUGUGGGCAACAGGAUACCAUUCGGCAUGCUUUAUUCGAGUGUACUUAGGCAAGAAUGUUUUGGCAAGAGAUCAAGAAAUUGACAUCAACUAAGGUACCGCUCACGCACCCUGAAACCUGGGUGAUGGACUUGCAUCAUUCUAUGCGGUUCAUGGGCUGUUUGGACGGAGAGAAAUGCACGCAACCAUGGAGAAACUACUCGGUCCAUAGCACAAUCUGUAAAAUGGGCAAUUGAUGUAGCCACAGAUCUCGCAGUUACAGGAUCACAACAUGUAGUACGCGUGAACAAAGAACUGCAGAAGUGGAAACCGCAAGAAGAAAGGUUCACUAAAGUUAAUGUGGAUGCUGCGUUCUGGGGAGAAACUCAUGAAGGAGGGACUGGCGCAGGUCUGCAAAAUCAUGAUGGUAAGCUGCUCAGAGCAUAAUCCAUAUGGUAUGAAAACGGGUCUUAAUGCAAGAUCACUUGAGGCAUAUGCUAUCAGAGAUGGCAUAUAAUUGGCUGCAGACUUGGGGUAUCGGAAGGUCAUUAUUGAGUCUGAUGCUCAACAAGUUAUAAAACAGUGCAAUUCUCCUGGGGUAGAUCGAUCGGAGAUAGCGACCACUGUGAACGAGAUACAAGAGCUUUGCGGGAAUUUUGAGGAACUUCGGUUGGUGUUUAUUCAUAGAGAAGCAAAUGAAUUAGUGCAUCUUUGUGCUAGGCAAUGUAGUUCCUCUAGGAGAAGAUGCAUCUGGAUUAAUUAUGUCCCAUCCUUCCUUACGGCUUGUGUAAUGAAGGAAUGUAAUCCCGUUGAUUAAAUCAAUAAAGCUCUUGAAAUCCAAAAAAAAAGAUAAAUGUCGCCAGGUUCAUAUUUAAUCUACUAAUUUAUGAUCGACCAAUUAAUCCAGUUGUUAGGACGGUUCAUCGAUUAGUCGCUACUCCCAAGCCAACCGAGCAUGUACCAGUUACUUGUUUCCUGGACAAUGUUCUCACCAUUACUGGUUUUUGAUAAUAGUUAUAUUGCUGGGUAAGAAGAUCUGGGAACGCCCGCCCGAUACGUUUCCAGAAAUAAUAGCAAUCCAAAUAGGACAGGGAACGAGGCACAGUGUCACUCGGAUACGAGUGCUCGGUGCUCCGAAAUCCCAAUACGACUCGGACAUGCACGGCCGGAUCCCAACGAAUAAAUACGUUACUCCAUGAGCUGUGAGCACCUACGUACCUAAGAUUGCUGGCACGACUCAAGAACCAGACGAUCCAUCAUCAUGUACGGGGCCAGUCCGGCGAAAUUCCGGUCGUUCACGCCGCCGGCAAUCACCCUGCAGCCCCCGCUCCCGCCCCACGACGACCCAUGGCCGACCUCCGCCCCUCUGCAGCCCGCGACUCCCCUCGCCGAGCCCGCCGGCGCCAAGGCUUACGAUCAAGAAAUCACCGCGUGCCACCGGUCCGUGGAGGCCGCGGCGCCGGACUACACCUCGAUGAUGUCGGUGCCCCAGAAGCCGGAGACCCCGCCCAUCCUCGCCGUCCUCGUCAAGUGGAUCGCCUCCGUCGCGGUCGGCUUCAAGACGCAGCUACGGUGCGACCUUGAUAUGUGACACCAGUCACCAGGCCGCCUCAUUAUUAAUUUAUUACAGGAAAGAACAGAUCUGUACACUCGCAACGGUCGCAUUAGUAUAUUCUUUUUUCAGGGAUGCAUUAGUUUAUUCUUUGGCAUGCUUGUUGUAGUUGUGUAUUUUUUUAAGAGUCAAUUACAUCAUAGGUGUCUGAACUUGGCGAGAAAAAUCAGUUUGGUGUUAAAACUUGCGGCAUACAUUGAACCGGUGACAGAACUUGGCUUAGGCGUGCAUCUACGGUGCUAAUCACGUUUGUAUACGCAUGGUGUGCUGACGAGGAACACCAACGUGGCGCCGGACCCAGCGUCGGUGACUGCAAGGCGGGGAGGAGGGUGUGUGGCCUGGUUUUUGCAGAAAGCACCCUGGAAUUCUUUUCCUCAUAGAAAAGCCCCUGAAUGAAUACCAAAUCUUGCAAAAAUACCGUGAAACUUAACGACGUCUCUAUGACCCUUGAGGCCCACCCGUCAGGAAAUAAUAGGAAGAGAUAAUAAUAUAUGUAGAUAAAGAGGUGCGCACCAGGGACAUCACACUACGGAGAUGACAAUGCUAACCACCGCACCAAGUCUAGUUUGGUGUCAACAGGGGUAGCUAUAUACAUUUUUUUAGGCAAGGGUAGCUAUAUACGUGACUCCACCCUAACAAGACUGCCAUGUGGGCCCCAGUGUCAGUGACUGGACCACACAGGAGAGGGCGUGUGCGAUGGAAUUUUUAUUUUCACACAAAAGAGAACCUCGAUUUUUCUUAAAAAAACACUGAGACGUCACUAUACAUCUCUAUGACCUUUGGGUCCCAUCCCGCAGGAUACAUUACAAAGAUCAAAUUGAUAUGCAAAAUAUUGUGCCUCACAGGUUCGAACCAAAGACCUGACCCCAUCUGGUCGGCUGCCGAAAUGGCCCAUUUUUCACGCGUUAUUUUUUCUAAAUUAUAAAUAUUAUAUAUAAAGCCGCAAAAAUACAAAUAAAAUAAUGUUUAUGUAAUUCUAAAAAACAUUAUUGUCUAAAUUAUUUUAUGUAAUUCUAAAAAAUAUUCUUUUUAAAAUAAUGUUCACGUAAUUCAUAAAACUGUUCUUAUCUAAAAGAAUAUUCAUGAAAUUCUAAAAAUAUAUGAAAAAUAUUUAUGUAUUAUUUGGAAAAAUAUUUCUAUAACUAAAAUAACAAAUAUGAAUUAUAAUAGUAUUUAUCAAUUGGAAAAACUAUGGUGUGCAAAAUGGGGCGCGGUCGCUCCAGAUCAUUUAAGCCGCAUGUGCGUGAUUGUAGUUAUUAACUACUGCUAUCCUGUAUAAUAAGCAAUGUGGCCUUGUUGUUGUGGCUAGAAUGAUCGUUUUAUUAUCGUGAGGUCGCGGGUUUGAACUGACACUUGGUUUUCGAUGUUAUAAUAUCCUUUUGUACUGUUUCCGGAUGGGUGGGCCGGGUCAUAGAGAUGUAGUUACGUUUCAAGGGAUUUUCCCAAGAUUUGUAUUCAGUCAGGGUUUUUUUUGUGAAGAAAAAAAUAAUUCCAGGGUGUUUCCUACAAAAACCAGGCCACACCCCUCCUCUCCUCCUUCCAGCGUAUUCAGUCAUGGGCUUUUUUGUAAAGAAAAAAUAAUUCUAGGGUGUUUUCUAAAAAAACAGGCCACACGACCUUCUUCCUGCCUUCCGGUCACUGACACUAGGGCCCGCGCCACGUUGACGUGCCUCAUCAGCACACCAUGCGUAUACAAACGUGAUUAGCACCAUAGAUGCACGCCCAAGCCAAGUUUUGUUACUGGUUCAAUGUAUGCCACAAGUUUUAGCACUAAACUGACUUUUCUUGCCAAGUUCCGGCACCUGUGGUGUAAUUGACUCUUUUUUUAAUUUUCGAUUAACAGUUGUGUAUGCUUCUUCGCAAAAAAAGACAGUCGUGUAUGCUGGUGUAUAUAUAUAUAAUCGGAGGUAAUAUCACUGGUAGUGAUACAACUUGCAUUGGAUGUGCAGUUUAGUGUUACAACUUUCAAAAUACAUUUUUCUGAUCAUACAACUUGCGUUUUGGUGGAGAUACGGUCAUUCCGUCUGCAUCCGCCGCUGGCGUGGCAUGCUAUGCAUGCAAGGGGCCACUGUUAGUGACCGAAAACAUCCUGGAGCAACCUGCGCGUGGUUUUCUUGCAUAGACCCCCCUUAACUUGUUAUUAUGUGCGCAAAAAAGUCCCUAGAACGGCGGGAACAGGCGGCCCAUGCAUAUUUGCGAGUGGCACCCCAAUAGCGCGAGAUUAUCGGGCUAUCUUCCGAUGAUGACGAGAACUAGAACUUUCUUCAGUUCAGAUUAGUCUGUCAGCUAAUUUCGGUUCAGUAAUUGCUAUCUUCAGAUUUCGUCAGCGAGUUCAGUAAUAUUAGUGUGCUUAGCAAGUUAAGUUAUCUCUAUUUCAGCAAGUUCAAUUAUCUUUAGUCCAAUUUACAAUGUAAUGUACACUAUAUUUAGUCUGUUUCGAUGCAAAUUUUAUAUUCUGUCAUUUCCAACAAGUGUCACAUUGCAAACACAAAAAUCACAUUACAUCUCUUAACCAUGUUCAAAAUGCAAAGAUAAUGGCACACAUUACAUCUUCAGGCCUCUUACAUCUUUCUUCCUACUAAUUCUUGAUUGCUACUGCAAAGAGAAUGGCACACAAGCCAAAACAAAGGCUAAUUGUGAACACUAGCAUCCUCUCUCUACACAACAACUAUUCCCUGUGAAUCCUUGCAAGCAACUUCUUCUCCAUCUUGCGCUUCUCCCUCAUGGACUGCUUCGCUGCUUCCUUCUCCUCAACUUGAUUCUCAAGCAGCUUGUUCUUCCUAGACAGAUCACAAAUGACAGACCUUUCCCAUGCACUCCAUUCUGGAUCACGCCGCUGCACAUGUGAGAAAUCCUAUACACGUAAUAAACACAUAAAUUCAGCGAUAAACUACAUCUCAUACAACAUAAAAAACAUUUACAAUACUCCCUUACCUCAUAUUGGGAUCCCAAAAGCAUCCUCCAAAGUUGCUCCCUUCUGUUGCCCCACGACGAGCAGAACUUAUGCAUGCCUACCAUUCUCAACAUUCCGCUCCACCCCAUUGAACUGGGCAUCAAACUUGUGUUGUGGCAGUCCAAAAACAAAUUGCGGGAGCUCAUCUACCUAAAAAGCAAAUCUUUCUCAAUAACGGACGAAGCUUUCAUGCAAGAGAUUCAGACAGGACAAGGCAUUACCUCCGUGUUUUUCUUCGAUCCGAAGUGGUAAACAGGCGCGGCCUUCCAUUCCUCCUCUUCGUCGCGAUUGCCAACACCGGAGCCACCCAUCUCACCAAACCAAGAGGGGUAAAAACCAGAUCCUGCCGUCGGCGACCUUUUCCUCACCUCGACACCGACGGCCUCAACAACCUCCUCCCCCAAGCCAGCAGCAGCCGUCGUCGCCCGCCUAGGGUUCUAACACCACAGAUUUGGGAACUAGGAGGAUUUGCAAACAAAGGAGACCACCAGAAGAGGUUAUGUUGGGGCCACUGUAUGCAUGAACUUUUUUACGUGAAUAAAUGUUUUCUGAGGCGGGUCCGUGCAAGAAAACCAUGCGCGGGUUGCUCCAGGGCAUUUUCUGUCACUGACUGUGGCCCCGUGCAUGCAUGGCAUGCCACACCAGCGGCGGAUAUGGACGUAAUGACCGUAUCUGCACCAAAACGCAAGUUGUAUGACCAGAAAAAUGUAUUUUGAAAGUUGUAGCACUAAACUGUACAUCCAACGCAAGUUGUAUGACUACGAGUGAUAUUACCUCUUUUCUUUUGUUGGGGUGAGAUCUUGAUUCUGAGAUUGGUUUUUUAUUUAUACGAGGGAGGUGAUAUCUCUUUCUUUUAUCAUACAUGAUUCUGAUAUUUCUUUUUUAAUUUAUUAGGGACGUGAUAUCUCUUUGUUAUUGUGACACUAGUAAGUGUGCACGUGCAACGCACGUUUUGAUUAAUACCCAUAAGUUAUAAAUGAUACAAUUGGACAUAGAACAAAAGCAUCCAAAUCAAAUCAUGUGCAUACACACAAUCAACACUAUUCACCCAUACGUCUUGCUCUUUUCCUCGUACGUAUAAUUAUUGCGCAAAGAACAUUUGUUAUGGAUCUGAUACAUUUUUCUGCCGACUCAACCUUCCAACCUUGGCUCAAUAAUUGGAAGAGAAUAAACAAAACUACAAAAUCAAGAACCGGGUCUUAAAGACCUAAGUUCCCAGAGGAUUGGUUCUAUUCAACUCCUAACCUGUCACGUACGACAAAGAAUCAUCUUGCAAGAACCAGAGAUAAAAAAGCACGUGAUCUUGGUAAGAUUACACCGUCAAAAAGAAAAUCUUGAUGAGAUUAGUGAAAUUUAGAAGGAUUCGAACAUAACUGUGAUGCUAUGAAAAAUUCCACCCCAUACAAAGUAGGGAAAAUAUUCUUUAUAAAUAUGUAACAUUCUCCAAGAUAACUCAUGAGCCUCACCAGAACAAAUCUCAUAGAAUGAAUAUCACAUCUUUGUAGUGAACGGAUAUAGCAAUUACAUUCAUAUAGAAUAAUUAGUUACGACAUUGUCACCUACUCACCUGAUCGUCUUCAGUCGCAUGCUUGCCGCUCCACUAUAUGGGCUAGAGAAGUGGCAUGCAGCAAGGCUGGGGUGUGGGCGAGGUGCAAUGCCGGAUCGUUUACGAUGGCAGAAGGAUAAUGUGGGACGGCUGCGGGCGUGGCCAAGUGGUGUGGGACGGAAGCCCCGACUGACAUCCGUCUGUGAGGCUCUUAGCUACCAAGAGUUCUGGGGCAAGUGUAGGUGUUCCCUUAAUUUAGAGUCUCCAUAGCAAACUCUGUUAAGAAAUAAGGGAAAGCAUUGAAAUGAAAAUAUGCUAAGGUAACUAUGUAGAGAGAAAGGGAAACGACUAACGGGUUGCUUCCCAAUCUUCAGUCACAACACCAAAUUGACACAAAAAAUACUACUAUAUUAUGAAAAAAUUUAUACCUGCAUUAUCCACUGUUAGAGUACGUAAUGGGCCUAAUGGGCCCAUUAGUCUUAGGGUUAAUUAGAGAUAAGGGUCGCUUACUUAGGGGUCAAGUAAGCCUUGCUUGAGAGUCAAGUAAACCUCUCUAUAUAAAAAGAGGAGAUGUAUCAAUCUAAUCAAGCAAGAAUUAAGAAGGAAAUCCCUUCCCUCUUGCCCGGCCGUGGGCAAAAAGGCCCCCGGCCGGCCCUCUCGCGCCCUCCUUCUAGCAGCGCCAUAACAAUUUGGUAUCAGAUAGCUCAGUUCCGAUCAUGUCUUCGCCGCCGCCCAUCCCAUCGCUUCCGCUGCCGACCGUGACCACCGCGCCGCUGGCCAUCUACACCGCGCCGCUGCCCUCCCCGUCCGCGCUACUGGUCGCAUCCUUUGGCGCCACCACCGCACCACCGGCCGCCGCCUACACCCCGGAGGAGAUCACCGGGGUCCUCAACGACCUCAUCACAGCCAUCCAGGGGAUCCAGCUGUACCUGGCUAGCCCCUACGGGCCGCCGCCGACCGCUGCCAUCGGGCCGCCGGCCCUGCCGUGGUACUCGCUGCAUCCAGGGGCCUCCGCGGCGUUCACUGGGACGCUGCAGCCCCAGCUGCAGCUGCCGCCGCCGCCCGCAGUGGCCGCCGCAGGCUCCCGCCGCGCCUCCAGCGCCCAUCGCCGCCUCCGCGCCGCCGUGGCUGCCGUGGCAGCCGCCACACCAGGAGGCCUUCGCCGUGCUCGCCGGGCCACUGUAGCAGCCGCUGCAGCUGCCAUCCAUCGCCACCACCGCCCAGCCUUGGCUGCAGUGGCAGCCGCCGCUCCUGGCGGCCUCCGCCGCGCCCGGCGCUCCAUCGCAGCAGCCGCUGUCGCUGCCCGGUGCGCCACCGCAGCAGCCGCUGCAGCUGAAGCAGCCACCGCCGGUCAGCUCCGGCCCCGCAUCGACCGCGCCGGCUGGAGUCCUGCUCCACCAAGUCCAGUCCCCGCCAUCGCCGUCACCGCUUCCUUCUUGGAUCGCUACCCGCCACGUUUCGACAGCGGUGAGGCUGCAGGCUGCUGCGCGUGGCCUCCUAGCGCGUCGGCGUGUGCGGGAGAUGCGUGGUCUGCAGCUGUCGCUCCUCCAAGUUGCCCUUCGCUGCGCAGAGGACCUCGAUCUCAUCCGCUGCGUCGGGGAUCUUGGGCAUGCGGUUUCCCCCAAGGGCGGUGGGCCUACUGCUUUCCCCGCGGGCAGCGACCUCAAAGUCUGCGACAUUGCCGGUUGGGGGGGCGCACCCCUCCUCGUCAUUCUCCAUCACAAGCCCUCCACUCUUCCCUGUGCGGUGCAAACCAACAGCCGUCCGGCAGGGAGAAGGCAUGGUGUCACCGACAGCAGCGCACCGCGUAGCACCACUGCAUUCCGCCACCGGCCGCCGCGAGAGCGCCUCUGCUGGUCACUCUUGCGACCACUUCCAGGUGGUCAUACACAUGCACUCCUUUUGUCCAGGUGGUGUCCAUGGGAUCCAGGUGGCUGUACACGUGCACGUCCGACUGCGGAUGGUGUCCAUUUUUUGUUAAAGGGUCCAAAAUAAAGCGUCCCAGUCCAUUUCAGGUUGAGAAUAAUAAAACAAGCCGAGAUGUAAAAGGCUUGUUUUUAGGUGUUAGGUUUGUGUUGCGUCGAGUCAUGGUUAUAAGUUGGUUAGGCUGCAGCUCGAGGACAAGCUGCAUGUCCAGGUGGGGUGUAGUGUUAGAGUACGUAAUGGGCCUAAUGGGCCCAUUAGUCUUAGGGUUAAUUAGAGAUAAGGGUCGCUUGCUUAGGGGUCAAGUAAGCCUUGCUUGGGAGUCAAGUAAACCUCUCUAUAUAAAGAGAGGAGAUGUAUCAAUCUAAUCAAGCAAGAAUUAAGAAGGAAACCCCUUCCCUCUUGCCCGGCCGUGGGCAAAAAGGCCCCCGGCCGGCCCUCUCGCGCCCUCCUUCUAGCAGCGCCAUAACAUCCACACUGCAUCCAUACUACUAUAUUGAGGAAAUUUUAGGACCAAGUGAUAAAAUAUAUGCCAUUUUCACUGUCAGUGCUUUCUUUGGGGCUGAAUUCCUCUCUCAUUUUGUCGGUGGAGAAUUCUCUUUGGACUUGUGUCAACUCAAAGAAAUAACCAAGUGUCCAUAUAUCGUUUGUUUCCAACACCAUCAGCUGCAGUGAAUGAAGACAUCUAGUGAGCGACCACAUAAUCCACACAUCUAGGUUCCAGGGGUGGGACUUACUCAACAUUCAGUCACAUCAUCAUAAACACUUGGAGAUCAAUUCUGAAAACUGAAUAACAUGCCAAAGAUGAAACAAAAUACUUUCAAACUACAAGUAUCAUGCCGAAGAAAUCCAAUUAAUCUAGUCCAAUGCAGGUGCUUCCAAUCUAAUAUUCCUAGUAGCAACAAGCCAUGUUGUAAGCAGGGAAUUUUGAUACAGCUACGUAUAUCCAAGUGUUGCAAACAGGAGUUUAUAUGUCAGGAGCAGGAAAGUUAGUAGCAAGAAAAAUCACGUCAGAUAGAACACAUUAACAAAACACAGAUUUUGCCACAUUAUUACAUAGAACUUCAUUCUCUUUUUGGUAGGUCUUAACCUAGUGUCAUCACGAGCUCUGGAAUCAACACUAUCAACUAUAUCUUUGAAUGACGGCAUUUCUUUCGUGAGACAUAUUUCUAGAAAAGAGUUACUACAAAUACAUCUGACAGACCGAUGUGAAAUAUGUCAACAUAAGGAGUUCAAAGUAAGCUUUGUAUUGUAGGAUGAAUGAAUGGAGUGGCAUGGAGAAUUGGCAAAGAAGCGAAUCUUCCUUUGACCUAGACUGUAGAUCUCAAGAAAACAAGAUCCGGAGGAAGACAGAGGACAAAAUGUGUGCUGCGGAGGGCGACACGUGUGUCAUGGAGGUGACCCUCUUCCUAGCCGCCUUUCCACACCUCAUAGCCUUCUGCACCCCCACUGCACUCCAUAGGUUGCCCUCCCGUCUCGCAUUCCAAGCCUUCCAUGCCGCCGCAUGCCGGAAGCCGGAGGAACGCAUCGCCUUCACGCACACACCCUCCGCCGUGCAGCUGCCAUGACACCAUCGCACCCACGCCACAAGGGCCACCACGCGUCGCUCUGCCGCCAUGGCCCGCACCCACCGCCGCGUCCGUGGGUGCCCGCUGCGUCCUAGUCCGCCGCCGCUGGUCGAGGGGGGAGAGGGACCUUGCCGGCACUGACGCAGGCCGAGCACUCUGGUUCCGCGCCACCGCUUCUCGAGGGAGGAGACACAGGCCGAGCGGCACGCGUCAUGCUGCGGGCGGCACGAGGCCGGGGACGCCGUCGCUCCUGCUUCCUUGGUGGCAUGGCGGGGACGAGGAGGGAGUGUGGGGAUCGUGUGUUAGUUUCCAGCAAGUGCGUGAUUACAGGAGAUGCGUUGAAUUUUUAUCUGGGGUGAGUAAUUCCAUCGCAUUUUUUUCAUGCCUUGCAUGAUUUACGGGGAUGCGUUUUGCGGGCCUGAAGUUUCCUCUGCGGUGGAAUUUGUUCAGUCAAACUAAAUUACUAAGUACACACAAAAGAAGAAUUAGAUUAAAAUAAAGUGUUAGAUUAAAUUUAGUGGGUCUAAUUCUAUGGUGAUAAUGGAUUCGUGUACAUUUUGUGGGGUGUGUUUAAAGAAAUUCUUGUUUGAUUGUUUAACGGAAAUGUUACGUGUGGGCGUUCACCAUCUCGAACACACGCAACGAUCACCGUUGGGGACUUUGUGUACGAAUCUUGGCACAAUCCGGUCAUUUUUCUGCGCCACGUAGGACGAGGCGCGUGUGCGGUGUGCGAGACCGGUCGCCCGCAUGUUGGUUGCCCUCCCGCGGUCAGCAGUUGCCACUCGGGGGCGUGCGGUGGAACCGCUAUGCGCCCGCAUGCCACGCGCCGACCGCGGUUAUCGUCAAACACGUCACGCACCUCUCCCCCUCUCCCUCAUGGUGCCAUUUACUAACCCCCGCAGUUGCUGGCACAACCCACUUCGCUUUCCAAACCAUUGGAGGAGAAGGCGAGGGGAGAAGGCGACGACGUAGGUGGAAGAAUCGACGGUGUUCGCGGCCGUCGGUGGUGCUUGCCGAAACGGUGCGGCUUCGCCGGAGGGCCUGCGGAUUGAAGGUAAUGCUCGCUCCAACUCUCGCAAUCCCUUCCUGCAUUUUCCCCCCUUCCCUCCCUGUUUGAUUCCUCGCUCGAGAUUCGUAGAGAUUCAGGCGAUUUGGCGGUGCGUCGACGUUCCCGUCGACGGCGGAGUCCUGUGCGCUAGCCGUUUUCGGUGGCACUGGGCAGUUUCGUGGACGCCGCGGUGGCUCCCUCAUCGGGGUGGUUAUGCCUGUCCAGAGACACGCACUAGGUGGGCCUUGGGAUUGGGCAGGUGUCUGCCGGUUUGUUAGUUGCGCAUUGGUUCGAAUUGGUGUUUGCAAUCAGUUCGGGGGAGAACUUUGAGGUUGAAUUUGAAGUCACUGUAGUUGCCAUUGAACCCUAGAUCUAGUUAGUUGUUUUUGAAACUGCAUUAUGAGGCAAACGUGGUAGUUUUGAUUAGCUAUCAUGACUGUAUGGCAACUACCUUCCUGAAUGAAUGCGAUAAUUGCCACAAACGUGCUCCCCCAUGCGGCAACUAACUUACUGAAAUGACAGUGAUAGUUGCCACAAUCAAGCUUUCCCAUGCGGCAACCAAGUUAUUGAAUGACAGUGAUAGUUGCCACACACACGCUCUUCCAUGUGGCAACUAAUUUGCUGAAUUACUGUGAUAGCAGCCACAAACAUGUUGUUUCAUUAUGGCAACUAAUUUUCCUGGAUGAUUUGUGAUAGUUGCCACACUGUAUGAAUGGUAAAGUGUAGUAAAUCGGUAGUCAAUGAAGUUUCAGUAACCAACUGCACUGGACGGCAACUAACGUGCACAUCAACCUUGCCUGUUGCCACAUGGACAGUAUAUUCUUGUGGCAAAUAGAAUGUGAACACAUUGUGUCUGUUGCCAUACCGUAGACAGGACUAUGUGGCAAACUGGCUGCAUAACAUGGCAACCAAUUUUGCACAUCAAAUUGUAUCAGAUGCCAUACAUAUGCUUUCCAUGUGGCAAUUUCCUGUCCGACCACAACAUGUAUGUUGCCAUGUUACAGUCAGUACAAUGUGGCAAAAUCAUUGUACUACAGACGCAAUUUUUGUGUUUUUGCCACAAUGACUUGCGAUAUCUGAACACACUGUGGCAAUUUUCAGGUUCUUUGAUUAGAUGUUUUUCAUUGCUUUUUUGUAUUACGUGUUGCAUUUUUAACAUGGCAAUUCAACCCUAGCAUAUUUUUGCCGCUGAACAGAUGGCAUUUCAUUGGUGUAUUUUUAGGACAGGGUGUGAGCUGCCACAUUUUAGUUUUUGUGAUGUGGAGGAUUUUGAGACUAUCUAUCGUACUAUCUUUGGCUAACAUGGCAACUUCAACAUUUUGUUUCAAGUGCAUUUACGAUAUGUACACCUUUUUUCAGAAAAUGCAACCAAUGUGCUUACUUGCCACGUUUAUGUUUUCGACAAUCACAAGAGGGGUGCGUGUGUGUUCACUAAUUGACAUUUUCUGUUGAGUGGCAACUGCUUACCUCUUUGCAUUUUUUCGUUUCCACUGUGACAAUUUUGGUCUGUUCCUAUCUCAGCAGAAUGGCUCGUGGCGAUCAUCAAAAUGAUGACGAUGAUUUCAUGGAUCCACCACAGCAUAAUCAGGCAGUUGGAUGGAAAAAAGAGGGUGAUGAGGUAACUGUCCACACACCUCCCCUCCCCCCCUCCUACUGCUUAUGUUUCUGGAUGCCACCUUGAGCUUUGCAGUUGUCUGUCAUGAACUAAAAUUUCAUGACAGUGCAAAACAUGGCAACAACUGAUCCCUUUUUGUCUCUUUUUUGCAGAAGAAUAAACGUAUUCGCAACAGAGCCUCCCAAGAACGACUGACUAUGUUGACCGACAGAUUUACCGACGAUCAGAAAGGAGCUGUUGCUGAGAUGGGUAUGCAGGCUCUGAUGAACGUCCGGUGCACGAAUCUUGUCAACCCUGUAUGCGACUGGCUUGGUGAGAUUUACGACCCCGCCUCCAGGGAGUUUUUGAUUCCGGGACGUGGAAGACUACCGUUGAACGAGGAAUCCGUGUUCUGCACUUUGGGUGUGCCUCGUGGACAGAUGAAAGUCCCGUACGAGGUCAAUAACGAGAUCGAGGAAGCGUUGUUCCCCCGUUUGUUUCCUGGGUUGGAAUCCAUGUCGAACACGUCUGUACUGGUAGAUCCGCUGCAGGCAAUGACGACCCACGAAGAUGUUUUUAAGAUGAAGCUACUCAUGUAUAUCAUCUCAGCCGUUUUUUCCGCCGACCACUUCUCUUCGGCCAAGCAACAAAUGAUUUCUCAUCCUGGUGAAUGGUCCAUCCUUACUACUUUAUUUUCCUACAAUGUAUUUGGAUCCGAUGUCAUGUGUAAAGCUAGUCACUGCCAGUGCUUUUUGAUGUUUUUUUUUCAUUUGAAUUCUGAUGCGGCAACUUGUUGCCCUGAAAAUCUUGUGCGGUGCAGGCAAAACUGAAAGAUGUGAAGAACAUGAACUGGUGUAAGUUCAUAGCCGACUUCCUGCACGAUGCAUUCUCAAGCAAGAUGUACCAAAAGGGUUGUCGACUGCCUUUAAUGGUAUUUUUUUACCAGUCUUAUUUUGUGAACACUCUUUUUUAACACACUUUCAUUCAUGCAUGGCAACCUGAUCAUAACAAGAUGGCAACUGCUAUAAUGACAAUAUGGCAACUGGCAUAAUGACAGUAUGGCAACUGCCAUCAUAUUAUGAUGGCAAUUGCCAUCAUGACAAUAUGGCAACUACCAUUACACUAUGAUGGCAAUUAGCACAUACAUAUGGCACUUAGCACAUACAUAUUAGUACAAUGACAAUAUGGCAACUAAUAUUUUCUCUCUUUUUAAAAUUGUUGUACAUCAGCUCAUGUACGUCGACUGUCUUGAUCUGUCCACCAUGAAUUUCACUGGGACAGGAGGCCCGCCUCCUAUGCACAAGUUUGUUGUUUGUGCGUGGACUAUCAACGCUGCCAAGGCCGUGCUUGCCGCAGACAGGGUAACUGAUACCAAAUAUGGAAAAUUGCAGGUUAGUUCUGGUUUCUUUCUCCACACGGCAUGCUUACAAAUUUGACAUGAGGCAACCAUAUGUUGUUUAUAAGAGAUGACUACCUUUGUUAUCCAUGGCUUUCUGCGUAUUGUAUCCAUGUCUCACUCCAUAUGGCAACUCUUUCAUUUGUGCUGAAACUUACGUUCUCUCUCUUACAUCCUAGCUAUUUUUUUUGUUUUUUACAGCUGAUGGCCAAGCAUGCUAUAGACUACAACGUGUUUGGGGGGUCUCAAAACUUUGGAAAGUAGAUGGACGUGCACUCAGCUCCGUCUUGCCCUAGUGAGGUAAUCAAAAGAUCUACAUCUAUUUAUUGCCUUUGGAUUAUUUUUGAUGUUGCGCAAGUGACUGUAUUAUGGGGUGGUUAUUUCUCCUUCUUUGUUUCGUGCACAUGCGAGGGCACCUGUUGAGCAUCUAAUUGGGCAGUUUGCAUCUAGAAUGACCGGCUUGCUCGGGAAGUUGGUUGAGGGGUGGACGUCUCUUAAUGGCUCUGACAGCAACGCCAUUGCGAGGCAGUUCACUUCGUUUGUCCCAGAACGGACACAUCGGCCAACUGGUUGUCGUGACCGGUACGACUACAACAGUUCCCAAGAGCUCACUGACACACAAGAUGAACUAGGUGGAGACGCUGGUAUCAACAAGGAUGACGACGAUGACACGAAUAACGCGGAAGAGGAAACCGAUGAUGAUGAACACGCUGAAGUUCGUGCAGGUGCUAACAAGGGGAAGGAUGCGCCAUAUGUCCCCCCACCGGAGAAAGUCAAAGAACGUACGGCUGCGAGAGGCGAGGGGGUGUUGCCAUCAAAGAGGAGCAGGGCUCUAGAGGAUGUUGGGCAGGGUUCUCCUGUCAAGAGGUCUAGGACUGAUCCCGUAGCUGCUAGGAGGAGGUUUGACUUUAAUUUUAGUUUUUGCUUUGUCCAUAUUUUUUGGAACAGAAUGAUCCCUUUUUGCACUUUAUUUUACUAAGCGCGGCAACGAGUUUGCUGUCUGACAAUUGUCACCUUUUUUUCCUCCAACUUAACGUGCAGGGAGGCGACAGCUGGUGGACGAGCAGUUACGAAGAAACAUGCACCAACACCAACCCGUGCUUCUUCUCGGUUGAACAAAGGUGCCCCCAUUGCUGGUGACACCCAUUCCACCAGGUCAUCUCCUCGUACGACGACGUCCAACACCGGGGAUCCUGUCGUGUUGCCAGACCUGAGAAAGCCAGCGAAGAAGUAGGUUUUCCAUGCGCUUUCAUUGACAUAGUGCUAUAUUUUUUGAUUUUUCAAUGCAUCCGAUCAGCUUGUCACAUGGGCUUCUGUCAUCAUCCCCAUAAUGGCAACUGUUGUUUUUCAAAAUGAUUUUCCUUCCCUUUUAUGAGUGCAUGGCAACUCCUAUUUGUUUUUACAUUGCAACUGCUAUCUAGGCCAAAUGGCAACUCUUUACUUUACCUACAUGGCAACUGCCAUCUUUUCCAUUGGCUUGUGUGCUCAUCCCAUACCUAGUUUUGAAAUUGCAUUACUGGAAGAUCAGACAUUUUUUAGCAUUCUUCAAGUUGGCCAACAUGGCAACUGUUGCUGGAUUUGCAUGACAAUUGCUAACUAUGUCACAUGGCAACUCAUGUUCCCCUUACAUGGCAACUACCAGCUUUUCCACUUAUUUUUUUCAUUUUUUAGAUUUCUACCAUGGCAAAAUAUUCUUUGUUCAUUUUUUAACACCCUUUCCAUGCGCUUUCCCUUUUUUUGCAGGGUGAAGAAGACUACUGCACGCACGGUCAAGCAUACCAUUAGGGACCCACUCGAACGUCUUCAUUCAAAGUUGUCAACAGGUGGCAACUCAGAUGUUCAUGAGGCGCCAGGCGACAAAACUGCUGCUGCACCGCCAACUGUUCCCAGUAACUCUGACGCAAGUGGCCGACCAUCUUUGCCUGUUGCAGAUGUGCUGGCUAGAACAACGGGCCUCCGUACAUCGGGGAGUGACGACUCGGUAUCUGCCAGGACCGCUGAAAUAUUGCCCACUCUGCUGGCAAUGAAGGAUGCUGCUGUGAGCCACGCCACCCCAUCAGGAAGUGUUGAAGUGGAUGCCCCCGAGACCAACCUAAGCAAGGAAGAUUCUCGCUUAUCUGACACUGAUUCCAAGCGCGUGCGUGGUGGCACUCAUGUGCCCACUACAGAAGUUGCUGAGGCGGCAGUUCAUAAUGAUAUGCCAUCUGCAGUUGAGAGUCUUGGCACAACAGCUCCAGCUCCUGACUGUGCAGAUAUUGCUCAGGCCACUGUUCCGCGUGCUGGUCGUCCUCCUAGGCGUCGUAGCCCCCGCAAGCAAUCAACAGUCGUAUCCAACGCACCAGCUGCAGCUAGGAGCAGUAGAGAUGAGUCUGGUUACGUUCCUGCGCCCACACUAUUCCCGCCAACCGCCAAAAGCAAUGUUAUGGAGAAACCAGAAGACCAGAGUAGAACUGAUGCAGGUGCCAAGCCGGGCACGAGUGAUGAAGGUGAACGUCCGGAGCAGACUGCACCUUUACCCGUAGUGAAAAUCCCCAGCUUAAAUCUGCGCACUUCCAAACUCCCAAUCAACAUCGGUGUCCCCUACAGCCCUAACAAGAGGAUUGUCAACAAAUCUACGCCCGUCACCACUGACAGCACGCCCCGCCCUAUUGGCAAGCUUGAUGAUUCUGCAGCGGCUGAUCCAGAAGAUAUGUUUGUUGAUCUUUCACCGUUGGAUUCUGCCCUGCAAGUUGUUCGCGGUCUGGCCAGUAGGCAUGAGAGGCACCCAAUGGCCUUCACCCCACCGAGCUUCAGCCUUGGCGUCAGUCAAGAUCAACAAGUGGCUCAAGAUCCUAUGCCAGUUGCCUUUGCUUUUCCUGGAGGCGUGCCCGCAAUGAUGGCGCAGCCAAUGGUUGAGGGCAGGAAGGCUGUCAAGUUCGCAGAGCCGAUCGUCCAAGGUACAUCUAUCAUGUGCUUUUGUCAUUUUCUUGUAUACAUCUUUGUAGUUUGACCUUUGUCCCAAUCAUAUUUUUUUGGGGUUCUCACUUGUUAUGGCAACUGAUAUGCGAUGACAUGGCUACUGGAUUUGAUGCACCAUGUCACCUACACAUUUUUUUGCUGCCAUGCUGCAUUUUUCCAUUGGGCAACCACAUGGUAGCUGUAGUUGUUGUCACAUGGCAAAUACAGUGCAAUAUACAUGGCAACUGGAUUUGCCACACCAUGUCACCUGCAUUUGUUGUUUCCACGCUGCAUUUUUUCCAUACGGCAAGCACACGGCAAGUGGAGUGCCACCCCUGGUUCUGUGAGGCAGCAGAGGGUAGUUCACCCACCUCCCGCGGAAGACUACGAGCCCGAAUUCAGGGCCACAGAGGAACAGAACCAGCUAUACGAUAUUGUCAAGCGGUUUGGAAAUGCGAGGUCCAGCAGCAAGCACAUGAAGGAGCUGAAAGCGUAAAUGACCACACCACAUAAUCUCUUGUUCUGCUUUGCUCUGUUUUUAUCAUUCAUCUUUCUUCAUACUUUCUAUACAUGAUCCGCUUAAGUUUUAGUUCUUUUUUAUUAUUUUACUUAGUAGGCAUGAUUCGUUCGUGUUACGUCAUUUUCAUACAGCUCAUGUUUGGACAAAACCAAGGUCAUUCAAUGCGGAGCGACGUACGUCGACCUGGGUGAUCUUGCCGAGUCCAUGAGGCCAAAUGGUAAAAUGUCGACGAAUGUAGCUGCAUGUGGGAUUGACUACAUCAACAAUCAUGUGGAUAUGUCUCCCGACAAAACAAUCAUGCAUUACAGUGUGACCUGCAAAAUAUGGGAUGGUGACUUCAACCACAAAAUUCUGAGGAAGAAUUUCGCCCAGCACGGUGAAUUCAAGCUCACACUGAAGAAAUAUGUGAGUUCUCCUCCCCCUGGUUGCACUUUUUUUCCACAUGGUAUGGUUUUUUGCCAUCAUCUGCACCCUGUUUAUGUGGCAGAUGUUUCAUGUGGCAUCAGCUGCCGUGCAAACUGACUUUUUGAUUUUUUCCAUCCCGUGCAAACUAUGUGGCAACUUCAAAGUAAAAUACACGGCAAAUUUUGUUCAUACAUGGACGGCAACUUUCUUUGAACUACACCAACCAUAACUAAAACAUUCUACGUGAUUCUACAUUUUUGUCCCUUGAUGUUCUUCAUGUGAACUCUGUUUCUCAUUUCAAUCACUUUUACAUGCAGGUCAUGUUCCCCAUGUUCCAGGAGCUUGCAUCACACGACCCACACGACAAGUGUGGUCACCACUAUGCGAUCUGUCUUGACCUGAAGAACCAACGCUUUGAGGUGCUUGAUUCAAUGCGUUCGGAAGCUGAUGCAGACCUCACUUCGCAUGCUGAAUUCUUCAUCAACAACGUCAAAGAGACAUGGAACCGUCACUAUGAACACUCAAAGGUCCAGAUCAGACAUUUCCCGAUUGAGUACGUGGUGACCACGAAUCAAGGGAACACGUAAUUUCCUACCCCCCUUCCUUCAUGUGCCAUUUACAUCAAUCCCACCCCUCUGUUGUGUUGUUACAUCUGAAUUGAAGUUUAUCACUGCUAUGUCUGUCCUCUUUUUGCGAGUUCACCUGGCUCUUUUUCCUGUACAGGACGGACUGUGGCUUUCACGCGUUGGAAUACUUAGCAAAGUGGGAAGGUAGACUUGUCCCCGCUGUCACAGCUGCAACGGUCGUUGAGCUCCGGAAAAUCUACACAUGGAACUAGUUGACGAAUGAAGAUUUCAACAAGCGGUCCGGAGCACGCGAGUUCGUGGAGGAAGCUGUCAAGAAAGUCAUCAAGAAGUACAAGUGGUCACGUGAAGUUACAACCGGACGCAUACCUUACAUUCUGUUGCCGAGGAAUGUAAGGUACUAUCUCUUUUGUUUCUUUGUCAAAAACUAUGUUCGUGUGCUAUGUUAUGACGGCUACCCCGCGUAGCCUACUAUGUAGUGGUGGUUUGUGAGCAACAUUUGAAUAGGUUAUGUAAUAUAUGUGUGGAUGUGAACCUUUUUAGGCGUGACAACAGAUAUGUUUUUAUGUUUAUCAUUACUACUAUGGUUUCAUCGUUUGUAGCACCAGUUUUGCUGUUUCGAAUACGUCGACGAUGUUUUAAAACAUGGCAAAUGUAGUUCAUCAGACAUGGUUAGUGAAAGUCAUCGUCGUUUUUCAUUUGGCUGUUUUGCUUCUUCUUUUUCAUCGCUAAUCGCACCGGCUAGCAUGGUAGGUUGAUCAUGUAGCCCCAACCUUUCCUGCGGUUGGUGCACGUUACGCUUUUUUUCAACUUGUUUCCCAUGCAUUGCACACAACACACUAUGUGUUACUAAACCGCGUUGAAUUGUCAUGGAAAUAUAUGUGAUGCUGAGUCAUUACAAAUACCAUGUCAUAUUUUUCAGUACAGCUAACAUGACAUAUUCAGUACAAACAACACGGCAGAUCCAAUACAAUUAACAUGGCAGAUGUAGUACAACUAACAUGGAAAAUUUGGUAUAAAAUAGCAUGGCAAAUUUAGUAUAAAAUAGCAUGGCAAAUUUAGUAUAAGAUAGCAUGGCAGAUUAAGUAUCCAUAACAUGGCAACUACAUUUAUCCAUUCAAUGUAUUCUCCUUCAACUUCUGACACCCCUCAAGAGCCAUUCUCCCAAUUUAGUACAAAUAACAUGACAUAUUUUUACACUACAUGCUAUUUUAUACUACAUUUACAAAUACCAUGACAUAUUUUUUAGUAUAGCUAACAUGGUAGAUUCAGUACAAACAAGACGGCAGAUCCAGUACAAUUAACAUGGCAGAUCCAAUACAACUAACAUGGCAAAUUUAGUACAACUAACAUGACAAAUUUAGUUUAAAAUAGCAUGACAAAUUUAGUAUAAAAUAGCAUGGCAACUACAUUUAUCCAUUCAAUGUACUCUCCUUCAGCUUCUGACGCCCCUCAAAAGUUAUUCUCCCAAUUUAAAAAAAAUCACAACAUAUAGGGGUACAAAACGAAGUGUCCACAAGGACCAUGUCACAGCGCCCCAAUUUUUGCUUAUGGAUUGCCCGUUCCUUUCUUUGUUUUCUUGUGUUUUGCUUGAAUCUCCAAUCCCGAUUUGUACCUUAUCUCUCUUGGACGACCUUUUGUGAUGGAACGGGGUGGGUUCCUGACCUGGGUUUGUGUGCUUGCUGUUCCAGAUCCUAUCUUUGAGUUUUCAGAUGAUGGUCCCGUGGACGAAGGCAUACUUGAUGUGCGAGGGAACCUAUGUAAGGCUUCCUCAGCUUUCCUCUUCUUGAUCUCAUCAAGCUCUCUUUCCAGGGCCUUCCUGUGUUUUUCUGCGACUCUCGAUGUCUCAUCACUCUUGCAUGCUUCAUCAAUUAGCUCAGCAUAAUUCUUUGUCAACACAACAUGCCUCACGGCUUCCAUGGUUGACUCCGGUCUCUCGUCAUGCACAGCCAGAACUGCGUUUGUUGUUUGCGGCGCCAACGCGUCGUCAGCGUCCCAAGUCCAUCGCCGCCUUAUGAAAUGGCAGGGCAUCCGUGUCACAGCGUUCAUGUCCAUUACUUUUAGUAUGUGACAGCACACAAUGCCGUCCCGUUCAAACUUGCAGCAUUGGCAGUAGUAUUCGCCUUGGUCUAUUGAGGCUUUCACGAAGUAGUUCAUUCCUUUGUCCGGAUCUUCAGGUUCUGAAUCCGACAUGCCCAAAAUAGAACACACCUUGAACGUAUGUUCGUCAACCUGGAAAGCCGUGAACAUGCUGGCAUGCUUUAUUUCUUCCUGGAAUCUACAAGUUUUGUGUGUUUUCUGUUACACAUGGCAACUGUAGUACAUAACACAUGGCAACUGUAGUACAUUAGACAUGGCAACUGUAGUACAUUAGACAUGGCAACUGUAGUACAUUAGUCAUGGCAACUGCAUUGCACUUUCAACUUGCCAUUGUCAUUUCCAUACAAACAUCCCAAAUAGAAGCACAAUGCUUAAAACAUGGCUACUACAUUUAUUAAACAUGGCAACCUCAGUUGAGCAAAUAUGACAUUUUUGCAUUUCAGGAAACAUGUCAACUUGCAUUUCAGAAAACAUGGCAAAUGCAGUUCAGUAAACAUGGCAACUACACAACAUUUUCAUUUUGGCAUUGGCAUUUUGCAUACAACAUGCCUAGUGGAAGUACAGUGCAUUAAACAUGGCAAUUGCAUUUCAUUGAACAUGGCAAGUGCAUUCCAUUUGAAGAUGCCAACUAUAGCUGAGCAAGCAUGACAAAAACAGUGGUUCACUAAACAUGGCAACUGCAGUUGAGUAAUCAUGUCAAACAUUAGUUCAUUAAACAUGGCAUCCUCAGAUCAUGGCAACUGCAUUGCAUUCUACAUGGCCCCUACUGCCUCCAUCGGUAAAUACGUUAGCAAUUUUGGCUGCUUUAGCGCGGUGGUCGCUUCUUGCUGUAGCUCAGAUCCCAGAAUUUUUUGUUGCAAAGCCGUGUAUUGCUUGGCAAACUGUAGCAAUGAGUUGCCAGGGCUCACGUACCGCUUCAAAACAGCAUUGAACCCCUCGCUGCGCUGCGUAGUCUACAGAAAGGGGAAGAAGCACUGCAUGAAGUAGACAGGCACCCAGUACAUUCGCUUCUCCCACGGGCUAGCAAGUGUCUCAUUGUCUUGGACUUGAUAUGUUUCAAUCAUGGCCAUCCAGCUCCUUUCAAACUCCUCCACCGUCAAGUUGUGGUCCACGCACAGCUCGAAUGCCUUGUGGAGCUCUGGACGGUCAGCAAAGAACGGUCCUAGCGUCUCCUCAGCUUUCUUUAUAAUGUGCCACCUGCAGUGCCUGUGCACUGCCAACGGAAAGACCCCCUCUAUGCCUGCACGCAUGCUAAAAUCCUAGUCUAUUAUUAUGUUCAUCGGAGCAAGUCCAUCCAUGCAUUCCAAGAAGGUCUUGAACAGCCAAACGUAUCCAUCCGUGUCUUUGUUCCGAACGAGCCCGCAGCCGAACUGCAACGACUAAUUGUGGUUAUUUAUUCCUAUGAACGGAGGCAUGGCAUCUUGUACAUAUUAGUGAGAUACGUCGCGUCAAAUGAAAUGCAAUCUCGGAAAUGUUUGUAGGCUCUCCUUGCAGCACCAUCCACCCAAUACAUGUUCCUGACACGGUCCUUAUUGUCCAACCUUAUCCUGUAGAAGAAAUCUGGAUCUUCCUUCGCUUUCUCAUCAAAGUAGGCCAUUGUGGCCUCUAUGUCAGCCAACUUGCUUUCUCUACGGUACUUUGCCUGUAGGUUUGUGACGUCAGCUGGUAUGUAGGGCAUGCUACUCAGAGUCCCCUUUUUGCUGUGGAUAAGUGACAGUAUCUGGACCAUUUUUGAUGGACUGACGUUACAAUCAUGUAGCAGCUUUACGAAUUGUCUUUCAACGGGGGUGAAUUAUCUAUGUGCGAUCAGAAAUUUUACCAGGUCGAACUUUUUUAUGAGUUUGUGGUUGUGCUCGUCAAAAUAGUCAGUGACCACAUAUUGUGUUCCAUCCACGUUUAGCUUACACCGGACAGGGCAUCCCGUCUUGAGAAUGACCCCUCUCUUUCGUUCUGGAACGACAGGCGCAACACCUUUCCCCUUCUUGUUCCUCCGUGCCUUGUGACACAUCAUCUCAGCUCUGCUGUACUCGUUUGUUUUCUUAAUCUUCCUAUGAUAUUCGGUGUUGACCGCAAACCCAUGGAACUUUGCAUAUGUCUGAUAGAAUUCCUUUGUUUCUUCGAACGAUUCAAAUCUCUGUCCAACGUACGGUGGCUGAGGUACCAAGAUCCCUGAUUGCCCAUCAUCUUCAUCCCCUUGUGCCUCAUCGUCAGUUUCAUCAUUCACUUUAAUAUCGACGGCAGUUUGAUCUGCUUGAGUGUUGCCAGUGCUUGUCUUCAAAGGGGUGCUUGUCGGCAUUGCAGGAAUGAUUGCCAUUUCUGACUCUGACUCGGGAUUAUCUGCGUCAUAACUUGUGGCUGGCUGGAGGACCGCAUCUUCCGUGCGCUCAGAGCUCCCCGCAGUAGAUGCCCCUGCACCGCUGUUCACUUUAGUCAUAGGCCCUGUAAUAGAAAAAACAGGAACAAGCGUAAGAUCUUUUGCUUGAAUGACAUGUUUAUCAUAACAGAGUACAUGAACUUCAAGUGAUUUGGCAUGACAUCAUUCAAACAAGCAAGCUGUUAGUCUGCAUGUCGACAUGCAUGGCAACUGUAGUUGUCUAGUCAUGGCAGCUACUGUCCAACAAACAUGGCAACUACUGGUUUUUCAGUAUUUGCAUCAGUCAUGCAUGGCAACCAGCUCAUUUUUUCAGUAUGAAAACUUGGAUUUUAUGUGCAUGGCAGCUGUAGUCAUGCAUACAUGGCAAAUACUGCCGCUAACGCAUGGCAAACUAGUGUGUGCUAGCAUCAAUUUUUUUAUAUUCUAGCUUCGAUCUCACCAUGCAAAUUUUUCAAUUUACCUUGUUGUGCUGUACGUGCCCAUCUUGUGUGGUCCGUAACACCAAAUUGAUGUGCUGUAUCUGCAUUGUGUAAAGCUUGCCAUGAAAUGUUUGUCGGGGUAGAAGCUCCGUAAUAACCUGUAAACAUGGUAUUUAGAUGGGUAAUGCAUGGUAAUUGCAAGUUAUCCAUGGAUGGCAAACUCAAGUUGUCCAAGAUAACAAAUGCAGUUGUCCAGGAUGGCAAAUGCAGUUGUCCAUGGAUGGCAAUUGCAGUUGUUAUGGGAUGGCAACUACAGUUGUCAAUUACGCUCCUUCUGCUAAUUCAUCGUCUGCAAUUUCUGUUUUUACGGACUAACCUGUGUACGACGUCGAUGGCAGGUACAUGGGUGCCGACUGCCGCCAUGUGCUGCACGAAGGCUCUGCAUUUUUUCCCGACAUAACUCGUGAGUCUUUUUGCCAUCCUUUUGUAAGUUUAUUUUUCAUGUGCAGACCAGUAUGUUUCAUUUUCGUAUGUGUUACCUUGACUUGCCACAUUAGCUACUUGAAGUUGGCUGCCCGCACAUUUGUCAGUGUUAGCGCCCUGUGACUGAACUUGCCAUGGUGCCCCCCUAAGUGUGUUUUGGUCAUAAGAACCUGCAAAAAAAUGACAGUGUAGGACAUAAGUAGAAUGUCAUCUUCAUCGUCGCGAACAUGGCAAAUGUUCUUUUUCUUUUGUUUCUCAUGUAUCAUACCAAUGCCUGCGUACUGUUCUAGUAGUGGUAGCAACGGCCCUGCUGAAAUGAGUUGACUGUAUUCUGAUGCAUCCGAAGGGGGCGUUUCUGGCCUUUGAGAACCGAAAAGAUCAGUGCCAUCUCCGUGACUCAUUCUUUCCCGCGUCUCAUUUCCUGCCACCGUGCUAUCAAUCACUGCAUGAACAAGAACGCAUCACCAAUCCACAAAAAAUGUAUCCUUGUGAUGCUUGCAUGUAGAAGUUAACACAUCAGUGUUAUCACAUUUCCAAUGCGUAGGUAACCAACAUAUCAUGACUAGUAGGAAUUAUACAUCCACUAUCUUUUUCUAAAAUAUGAGUGUCAGCUAAUCGUUCGAUUUGAUGGCAUCAGCCACUACAAUAGGAUAGCAAGCUAUAAGUUGACAUGGUGGCAGUUGACGACAAUGAUAGGUGGCAACUGAUGUUAGACACUAGUAGCAAUUAUUUUUGACACCCUAUAUUAUUCCAAAUUUCUAAAUUUUCUCUAUGUUUUUAUGGAUUCCUACACAUCCAUCCAUUUACCAACUACGUGCAUCAAUCUACAAAGAACUUACGGUUAUCUCCAACACAGUACAUGGCAGAUCUAGUGUGCUCUGCUUGACAACUGCGAAGACACACAACCCACGUAGGAUGGGUCUAGUUGUCAACCUCGUCGGUAAUUUUUGUACUUUGCGCCAUGUAGAAGGAUGAGAAGCAGUAGUUAGAUCGGGAGAUUACCUGUUUUUUAGCUGCUCUUCUUUGGAGGGCGUGCUCUUCUUUGGAGGGCGUUGUUGGAUUGGGGGUGGGGGGAGGGGGUGGGGGGAGGGUGGGGGUGUGGUUUCAGGUGGAUUACAGAUGCCAUGUUGAUCCUGGUGCAAGGAUGCAAUAUCCAUGACCGAGCGCAACAUGGGUGGAUUGGUGUAUUUUGGGGUUUAGAAUUUUGCAUGAAAGGGGAUAGGGGAAACAAGAAGAGGGGAGCUGCACCUUGGCAAGUUGGAAGCGAGAGGAUCCAUGACAGUGAGGCAGCGCCGCCGGGUGUUGGGACCAGGUUCGCUCGAGGACGGACAGGGGUGGCGGUUUUGGCGUCGCUGGCACCGGCGUCGUGGGAAGGCGGCCUCGAUGGCCUGGAACUCCGCCUCGCUGCUCAGCGACAUUGGGCAGCGGGCAGGACAUCUACGGGGCAGGACGUGGAUGGCAGAACAUUGAAUUGAGCCAUCGGAUUGGAUGGCAGACCACCGAAUCAAUAUGAAUAAAAAAAACAUCAUCAUCGGCUAAACCCAUCACUUUGUCCAUUCAUUUCAAAACUGUUAGAUCCCUUGGACCUUAGGUUGAUACUGUGCCCAAGAGGUGCUCUCGGGUCAAUGAACCACUGGCUGGCUAGUGUCAUGCCAUUAGCUUGCUGUCGUUAGGGAAGGUAAUGGAUGUAUGAGAUAGAAGGGGGAUUCAGGCCUAAGAAUUUAUUUAUUGAUAGCUUGGCUAGAUUAGCCGUGGCUGCCUCUAUUUAAAGAGGAUGACCUUGCACGUGAGACUCCAACUGAACACAGACUCCUUCCUAAACAUGUUAAUGAAUUACCUAAGACUCUUGCAACAAUCCAAACUUGAAAAACAUUCCUAAUCUGAUCCAACAGGUUACCAAUCCUGACUGGAUCCUGUUGACUUGUGUCCUACUCCAACCGAUGCCUAACCACGUACAAGUGGAUUCCAAACCUCUGGUAGGGAAUUCUCCACAUAGCAAAAGCUGUCAUCCGUUUAUAAUAUUCUUGCAGCCUUGCAUGUUUCCUCAAAUAGUGCAUAUCAGUUAUAAAAAACAAGGGAUCAAAAGUAUUAACAGGUAAGAGGUCUAACUCAAGAAAUUCACCUCCAUGGUUGGCCAAUGGCAACAGGUCUUGCUGUUGCAAAGUUGAUUUAUCCGAGAGUGACAUGCCCUGGGUCCAAAGGAAGGAUCUCUCUCAUCUCCUGAACGUAUUUGUAUCCUUGUCCUUGAUGAAGUGAGAUAAUCAUGUUCUCCGUACUGAUGUUUUCUUGCAAGAGAAAUCCCAGUUAGCGAUUACUUGUUCAUAUAAGAGGAACAAUCAUAAUUCCCUCUCUAAGAUUCAAAGCAUUCUUGACACCUGCACACAAUUCACAUGGGAACUCGAUUUUUCAUUUACCUAUGCAUGGCUACCAUCAUCUUAGUCUGUCUUUUGCUUUUUCGUAAAUUAUGACACCAAAGUCUUCAUCUUCUAUAUUUAUUUAAAACUCAGUGUCAUCAACAAAUAUAAGCAUCCCCAUCAAACUAUGAACCUGCUGCAUCGCAACAACACGAAAUAAUUGUAAUAAAAUAUCACAGGAAGGAUAUCAGAAGACGCCAAAAAUAGGAUCAACCCACCAUGAGUACAACCUAAGAAACUAUUGAUGAGCUUCAUUCAACGCUUCGUGACCCAUAAAAUCCAAUGAUGCCUAAUUAGAGACAGGUUGUGCCAGUGCAGUGUUCCAAUGAUGCCUAAUUAGAGACAGGUUGUGCCAGUGCAGUGUUUGGCCUAAACCGUGUGUGACUUUAUUUUGCAAGUUAACUUCGUGCAAUGAAAAUAACUAUCUGUGCCAUGGAUCAAGAGGUUACCAUUUUUCUGAACCGAAAACUGUAUGGGAGGGACAGUAAUCAAUAGGCUACCUGCUUAUCUGCCAACACUCCCAUCUCUAUGCAUAUCUAUGGCUACCUGCUUAUCUGCGACCACUCCAAUCUCUAUGCAUAUCGAUGGCUACCUGCUUAUCUAUAACCGCUCACAAGUCAAAACCUCAUUAACACUCAAUUAUCUCCCCUCCAGGCUCCAGUUCAACAUAUGAGAUAUUUCUUACACUAUUACACAUGUUUUAAUUUAAACCCUUUUUCAGCAAAUACCAGAUGGAUUAUAAAGAAAAUAAACAAUGUUAUGACAAACAGGGAAGAUGUAAAACAUAAUACAACACCUGAUUAAUUGUCGGAGACACGGGACAAUCCAAAAUAUCUAAAAACAGAACCCUCAAUGAUUGAGCAGUGAGCACCAUGAAAUAAGGUUUCACAGGCAGAAGUAAGAAAAAUACCCUUAGUUUUGUACCUACCAUAUCGAUCAAACAUACCACUUCCUUUGAAGUAGAAAAGGUUAAUUUACGAGGAUUUCAGUCUUCAGCAGCUUUAUGCAUGGAUUCAUGAUCUGCAUGUAAUAGCUCGACCUCAUUCUUAGAAGUUAUUUCCUUUUUGCAAUUUCUUAUCACGUUCAACCUUCUCAUUGCAUUCUCCAUCCUCCAUUCAAGAAUUUGAUCCUUAUAUGAGGGAACAAAGCCCCUAUCCUCUAUAUCAUUCAGUAGUUUCUCUCCUUCCAACAUUCUGCCUGUUGCAUAGAUAGCCCCAAUCAUUGUGGUGUAUGUUGUAAUGUUCGGCCGAAGUUGCUUAGAUUUCAUCUCUUCAUAAAGAUCUAACGCAUCAGAAACACACUUGUUGUUGCAUAAACCUGUGAUUAGAACAUUAUAAGUGACUACAUCAAUCUUCAAUCCAUACAACUCCAUUGACCCUUUGAGGUGCAGAGCAUCUGUAAUCUUGCCUUCUUUACAGAGACCAUGCAUUAGGGUAGUGAAAGUAGCAAUGGUUGGCACCAUUCCAGCCCGUAUUAUGCUACAGAAAACUAUGAUACCCUCUUCAACCUUUCCACAUUUACUAAGACCUCUAACAAUUGAGCUUUCAGCAACUUCAGCUGGCACAACACCAAGAGCUGCCAUUUCCUCUUUCAGCCUGAAUGCUCCAUUGAUGUCCCCAAGCCUGCAUUUUGCAUUGAUUAAUGCAAUAUAGUGUGUAUGAUUCGGUUCAAGUCCACUCUCGACCAUGUCACGUAAAACAUCACAACUCUGCUGCAGCCAAUUUUUCCUGAUUAAUCCAUUUAUCAUGGCACUGUAUGCUUUACUGCUAGGUGACAUAUAUAACCGCUUCAUGCAGUUGAAGAGCUGUAAAGCAUUGGACAUCCUAGAUUUUUCACUACAUACAGUUAUGAGUACAUCAAAUGUUAAUCUAUCCGGAUAAAUGCGUUCUAAGACCAUCUUGUCCAAGAACUUAAUCGCAAUUUCAGUCAUACCAUGUUCCGAAAAUCCAUGGAUAAGCAAACGAUAUGUCACAUUGUUCGGCCUAAUCCCUUUCCUUACCAUAUCUUUGUAUAGAUAAACAGAUCUUGACAAAUGUCCCUUCUUGAUGUGCCCAUGCAUAAGAAUGUUAUAGCUGGCUGGGUUUGGAUAAACCUCAUUAUGAUACAUAUCCCGAAUCGUCAUAUCUACUUUAUGUAUCAUUCCUGCCUUUAGGUACCCGUUCAUCAUUGAGUUGUAGGCAAUACAAUCUGCAUACAUGCCUUCCUUGCAUAUGAUCUCCUGGAACAGGUAAGAAGCAACCUUAACUUGACCUUCCUUGAUCAAGCCAUUCAACAAACAGGUAUAUGAAACAAUAUCAGGGACAAAUCCUUUCUCCAACAUCAUCUGCAACAGGAUGACUGCAGGAACAAUUUUGCCUUUUCUGCAAAAACCACUAAGAAGAACAGUGUAAGUAUGGAUGUCAGGUAGAAAGUUACUUGUAACCAUUUUCUCACAUAAAUCCAGAGCUUCAUCUAGAGUUCCGUCUUUGCAAAUCCCCAGAAGUAAUGCAUUGAAGGUUUCCUGAUCAAUGGCAGAAGGUAUGUCAACAAGGCAAGCCAUGAACUCCUUUGCUUGUACCAAGUGGCCGCCCUUGCAUAACCCUCUAAGCAAAUUCCUAUAUGUGCCAACAUUUGGAGAACAACCAAAUCUAUGCAUAUUAUCAUACACUGAGAAUGCCUCAUGCAUAUUACCUCUGGUGCAGUAAAAGUCUAUUAUACAGUUGAAAGAGGCAACAUCAAAUGAUAUCUUCAUCCUAGACAUGUAUUGUUUAAAUUGCUCAGCCUGUGUAACCAUUCCUUCUCGAUACAGCGUACAUAACAAUGUAUUAUGGAUGAAUGAAUUGGCAGCUAGGCCCCUCCGAUAUAUAUCAACAAAAUACUUUAGUGCUUCUCCGAUAUAUCCAGCCUUGCAACAAUAGCAAACUAGAGUUGUAUAAAGAACCUCAUUAGGCAAAACUCCUGUUUUAUGCAUCCUUGAUAAUAUCUCUUUUGUUUCGUCCAACUUACCCAUCUUGCACAUACCAUUGAUCAAUGCUGAAUAAGUAACAACAUCUGGACUGAUCCCAACCACAAGCAUACUCUUUAAAAUUUGCUUGGCUUUAGAAACCACUCCUAGCUGACAGAAACCAUCAAUCAGGAUAGUAUACAUAGUCCUAUUGAUUGUUGUGCCUCUUGCUUUCAUAUCUUCAAUAAGAUUCAGUGCAUGUCCCGGCAUGGAAGCUUUGCAAUAACCAUUCAGCAUUGCACUAUAAGUUAAUUCAUUUGGUUUCACACCAGCAACUUGCAUUUCAUACAGAACUCUUAAAGCUUCACCAGUUACCCCACUUCGGCAGUACCCAUCAAUCAAGGUGGUGUAAGUAGCUAGGCUUGGCUUCAAGCUCUGUUUCAGCAUUUCAUUGAAGAUAUAGAUAGCAAGUUUCAUCUUACCUUCAUCGAAAAAUCCUUUGAUCAAAGUAUUAUAUGUACACUCAUCAGGUGAUAAGUUAUUUCCCCUCAUUCUUUUGAGCAAAAGGUAAGCACGCGUACUCCUCUUCAUUUUACAUAACUUAUCAAUCAUGAUGUUAUAAGUAUAUACAUCUGCCUGUACACCAUUCUUCUCCAUAUCUUCUAAGACACGCAUGGCAGCCUUGAACCUUCCCUUCUUAACAUACCAGUAAAGUAUUGUGUUAUAAGUAACACCGUUUGAUAUGGACCGACUCUUCAUCUUUUGUAGCAUAAGAUUAGCCUUUUUAAGGUUACCAUCAAGGCAAAAAUAAUUCAGUACAAUAUUACAAGUGGUGACAUCCAAUGGGAACUUCCGGGCCAAGCUUUCUUUUAAGAAGAACCAAACAUGUUUUGAUUCCCCAACUUCCACAAGAGCGUUAAGGACAGCAUUGCAGGUGUGAGUUGAAGCCUUAAAUCCACAGUCAUCCAUCAAUAAAAUUGCCUUACUUGCAUCAACAACUUUUCUUUCCUUUAGAUAUGCAUUGAUAAGAAGGUCAAAAACCAUGGGACUGGAAUCACAACGCGAGAUGGUUCGGAGAAGGGAGCUAAAUAUAGCAGAGCAAGAGAAGCCCGCCAUGGCAAGAUGCUUCAACACUGACAUUGCUUGUGAAUGCAUUUGAGCUUGGAUGAGGAUAUGAGCUGCCAGGCAGUAAACAUGAGUGAUUCGCUCCAAACCUGAUUGUUGCACAAUAGAACCCAGUAUCUUCAAGGCUAACUUUCCAUGAACCUUGUCAAGCUUCCCGAACUUGUACGCCAUGUGAUUCAAGGUCUCCCAGUGAUGCAUAGUUAGGACACUGAUGAUGCUACUCUCAACUCCAUGAACUGAAAGAGAUAACCAAAUCAAUACGACAACAACAAAAUGAUGAAACGUCAAAAGAGCCAAAACUGCAUCGGCAUCGAGUACUUCUAGUAUUGCAGAUGAGAAGCAACCAAUGAAAGCCAAACAAGUUAAAUAUGCAAAGAAUCAGCUGAAGCCAACAAAUAUGUAUUGACAUCCUAGAAAGCUGUGGGGGCUUGUAUCACUUAAGCAAUGUAGCUCAUUUUGGUCAAUGCCAACAAGAAAUCAACCAAGUUGUCGGUUCAAAUGCACUCACCAAGUAAUUAACUUGACAGUUUAAUAGACAUUACCACAAACAACUUACGUGCAUUAGUUAAGUCAAAACAGAGGUAUUUUACACCUCAGGCAUAGUAAUUGAACCGAGAAAAAGGAGUAGCUAAAAAUUAUCAAAAUUCUGAGCAUUGCUUGGCUCCACAGCUUCCAGUUAUUCGGAAUUUACAAAAUUGACAGAACUCAAUAAGGAAGGAUCUAUGAUGGUAAGCAAAAUAAAUUUAUGUGUGUCAUGACUAGUUCUUCUAGAACAACCAAGGCAGGCAAUAUCUUUUAAUUAUAGUGGGUAGUAUCUUAGCUGUAGAUCCCACGCAUUUCAAUCUGUGCAAACUUCGACACACCCUUGCGAACUAGGGUGAAACGGUGAAAUCAGGAUAAAGCUAAUACACUAACAAAUCCGACUCCCCCAAGUGCAGAGGAAUCGACAGGCACGCCAACUCGCAUUUCCACAAACAGCUUCGGUGCAUCCCACUAAUCAGACGCGAUACACAGAACAGAACAAAAAUUGGAUUCCUUCAGUCGAGAAGGUUUUUAAUUACCUCUGGCGGCGGCGCCAAUCCUGGUGUGGGCCGGCUGCCUGGAGCGGGAGGGGAGCCGGCAGGAGUAGAGCGCGUGGGAGGCCGCCGCCUUGGAGUCGAGGAUCCUGCGGCGGUACGAGGAGGACGCCAGGGACGACGACAUGGUGAGCGCUGGGUAGGCUGGAGCAGGCGCAGCCGACGCCACUCCAAGAGUCCAAGUGAAGGUGCGGCUGGCGUGGCGGGCGGCGGCGUGCAGCGCUAGAUAGGCCCGCUCGGCGUCCGCGUUGGCGCGCAGCGCGGGCGGAGAGGAGGCGGCGGCGGCGGUGGCGCGCAGACGCAGUGCGGAGAGAGGCGCGGCUCCUCACUCAGCGCAAACAGGGGGAGUGGCUCCGUUCCGCUUCCGCAGCAGUUCCUGGGGCUGCUGGGGCGGCGCCGUUUCUCCCACGUUCUUCGGACUGGGAGUGUAUUGCACUUGUUAUUAGUCGUCUUAGACUCAGUAGCAUUCAAGCAAGCUCAAUCUUACUCCCUCCUUUUCGGUUUAUAGGGCUUAUUUUAAAAUUUCAGUUUUUCCAUUUUAUAAGGCUCAAUAUGAUUGUUCCCCAUUACAUGUUCAGAUUUCAAGGUGCAUUAAAUCAUUGCAUGCAAAUAUUAAGAGAAAAUUGACCAAUGCAUGUACUUUAUGCAUGCAUGCAUUGCAAUUAAUAUAUUGGUAAACAUAAUUUUUUGAGGAAAACAAGAUCAUUAAUUAGGUGCUUUUGCAAACUACAAACAGUAUUCCACCACUCAUCAUCUACCUUGGUUGGUGAGAUUUUUGAAUUGAGUCCUAUAAACCGAAAAGGAGGGAGUAUAAUCUUAUUGCUUCUAAUUUCCUGGCCGUACGAUGAAGUUCCAAGAUUUGUGCUUUUCUUAGAUGAAAAGGAAACCUGUCCCCGGCUCCAUUGCAUAAUGAAAUCAAGAUUUGUGCUUGUCCCGCAUGCCGGCAUGAUACGGUUUUCAAAGUCAUGAGCAACGAUCUCCGGCCAUUUCAUAGACGAGAUUGAAAAAUAUAUCAUGUAUGGUUUUUAAAUAUGACGAUGUAUAGUAACAGAAAAAAAA